CGCUCCCGGAGCCCGCGCGGGGCUCACCUGGCGGCGGGCGGCGGCGGAGGGGAACGCGGAGGGAAAAGCGGAGCGCGGCGACGCAAACGCGCGGCGCGGCCCUCGGGGUCACGGGGGCAGGGCGAGGCCGGGCCGCUCCGUUCCGCGGCACCUGCGGAGCCCUCCGCGCGGCCCCGGCGCGGCGCUUCUCCGUCUCGGUCGCCCUAACUUUGUGCUCUUUCUAUUUCCCUUUCUUUCCUCGCUCCACGCGCUGCCGCAGCCCUCAGAGCGCCGCCGCAGCGGGAGCCAUCCCGCACGGAGCGGGGCUUCGGCUCCGUACGGCGGUCGACGGGCGCCGAGAGCGGCGAUCGGAGCGAGAGAGGGCACGGGACCCGCGGUCGCAGCCGGCGGGCAGCGCGGGGCCGGAGCCGAGCCGCCCGCGGGUCACGGCCGCAGCCCCGCGGGGCUCCGCGGGAUCCGAAGGGCUCCGCGCCCCGCGCUCCGUCCCGGCGCCGCACGCGGGAACGCGGCUGGCAGCCGCAGGUGCUGCGGAGCUGCGGACUCGGCGGGCGCAAAGCCGGGACCUCGGGGUGGGGGAUGCUCUGCGGCUCCGUUACACGGCGCUGCCCGAGCACGACGACCCGUGCCCGAGCUCCGGGAAGGGGAAAGGCGUCUGUCCCCGGUAAAAGGGUGCGAGCGCCUUCUGUGACCCCGAGGAGAAGGGCCGAGCUCCGGGCAGGGACGGGACGCAAGGCGCGGAACGGUCCCACAUUGCUGCUGAGGUUGGAUUUCCCGAGGAAUAAUAAUAAUAAUAACAAUAAUAAAUAAAGGCUUUCCUGCCUCGAACCUGACAAAGUAAACAGGAUUAAUUCGCCAUGUGCAAAAACAUUAAUACCGUCCUCAGCGCGGAAAUCAGAAGGGAAAGCGGUUUUCGCAGCACCCACGAUAUUAACACACGAUCGUAGCAAUGCAAAGCCACUGAUACACGCUCACACACCGCCGUGCCGCCGAUUGCUCGAGCAUUAACGAAGAAUGCCCCGCAUUAACUAUUUGCUCUUCGAGGGAUGGAGCGGUGUAACUCUCUACGAGCACCAUCCGCCGCUUUGCCAUUUGUUUGCAAGUGGGCUGAGGCAGAGCGGGUGAAGGGAAAAACGAACUACGGUUCAUUUUGCUAAAUCCUAUUUGAGACCCGAACGCCUCGCGAAGAAGGGGACGUUCUCCGCUGUCCUUCUCCGAGCCCCGUCACAAUAGAAAUGCUCUGUUUAGAAGUAAGGCUCUAUUGUUUUUAUUCCAAAUAAAUAAGCGCAUCCCUCCUGCCAUUUUACCGCAGAUGUAAAUUUAUUGUAAUGAGAGGGAGUGGAAGGAUUUAUUUUGCUAAAAUAGAGUUGGGGAUAGAGCCGGUGUAAAUCUUGGGGUUUUUUAAACAAGGAGGAAGAGAGGGAAGCUGCUUCCCUGGCAGAAAGCUGCCUUGCAGCCCUCUAAUUCUUCCUAGAUUAAAUCGCAAUAUGAAUAGAGCAUCGAACAAAUACCGAGUUUCGCUCUGAACUCAGUGGAAAGCAGUUACGUCUAACAGAAUUCAAUGAAUUCCUCUUCUCCCUCAAUGUAGUAUGUGUGUGUUUUUCUCUUCCACCACACUGAAGUUCCAUGAAUAGGGAAAGUGGCUCCUAUUGUGUGCCUCUGAACUUCCAAGUCAAUGCAAUUUUUAACCACUGGCUUGUGGUACUUUGAAAAUCACCAGGGGCUGUCAGAGUUGGGUCCUCUGAAAAAUUUACAGUGCUAAAUCAGAGCAUAUGCUGUGAGAGAGGAAAAAAAAUUGCUUAAGAUUGGAGCAAGUACAGUAUCUGGCUGCCCCCUAGUGUAAGUCUCUUAUCUGCCUAAAAUUCAACUUUAAAAGAAAAGGAUCUCUUAAAGGGAAACGACUUUUGGCUCACGUAUGCAUACGAGAAUGAAACUUCUGUACAUUUUAAUCUGAUUAAUUCCUAAGGAUUUAAAAUUAAUUGGCUUGGGCACUCCUAGACCGGACUAUAAGAUUUCUGCGUCAGGGUUCCUGCCAGCCCUGUGCCGAAUAGGUAUUUUUAAGGGAUAUUGGUCAGGGAUGGGGGGUGGGGGGGGAAUCCUGUUUUGUGAUUUUUUUUUUUUUUUUUUUAAACGAGGAACCGUGCCUCGCAUGCGGCUGUCAGAGCAAAACACUUUUGCUGCUUAAACUCAGAUCUGCGCCUUUUGCCGUAAUAAAGAAAGGAUAAAUAAUUGCCAUAAAGCCUCCGCCGCGCCGCCAACCACACCUUCGGAGGAGAUGAACAAGACAGUGUGCUUAUGGGGACCAAACACGUUAGAACACAGUUGAUGGAUCUGGAGCUCUGACUGCUGGCCAGCAAUGGCUCAGCAUGGACUGCUCUCAUCCUGGCUGCUCUUCAACAGUACUUUGAGCUGCAUGAAGACCUAAGAACCAAGCCAACAGCAAGAGCAUCACCAAGAAUCUGAGAAUCAAGCCCGCACCAAGAGCAUGGCCCAGUGUUUACUCCUCUUCCAGAUCAUACCUGAAACAUGGUGUGAAGUUUCAUUCUAUUCUUCUGCAGGUAUACCAGUUUAAUGCAAUUAAUCAAGAUAGUAGGGAUUAAACAGUAACUCACAGCUGAACGCGACAAUGUUAUCAAUUCUAUGGUGCAAAAGGGCUGGAAGAAAAUGACUGCAGUGACUAGAAGCACUGUGGGCAAGAACAAGCUGACUGGAGUUUUGGGUUCCUGAUGCCAAAGGUCUGACCUUACAAUGAGCAGCACACGGGGUGAGAUCGGGCACUGCACUGAGCUUCACACACAGCUAUUUUGGUAACCAGAACUGUGUAGUCAGGAUAGUACAAGCACAAGCACAGUGAAGGAUUUAUCAACGUGUUAACUCUAUCAGUGCUGUGUUCCUGUACAGGUUCCUGUGUCUAUUUCAGAUCAUAAACUCAGGCUUGCAGAAAUCUUUGUCUGCAGGAGAGGCUCAGCCUGGCUUACUACCACCCCACUGCCCUUGUUAAUGCACAUACUUCCAGCCCUGAUGCACUGGGACCACCACUGCCGGUGUGAACCAUGAAACAUUCAGAAGUUGCAUUUAUCAUCUGAUGCUACUACAUCAUCGUAGUCCAUCCUGUUUCUCUUCUAUCUUCUCCUUAAUUUAAUAGCCAAUUUCCAGCAAGAUCUUGUUGCCUAGAUCCUGCCAACAACCAGGGAACAAGCUCAAGCCAGCAGAGAAAAUGAACAACCAGAAGUACCAGGAUUGUGCCAUCCUAUCCUCUGCUGUCAGGUUGGGGUCCCAACCACCAUUUGGAGAAGCAACUUCCAUGGAGAUGUGAACAGAACAGAAUAUGAAUACAAUUCUGCGUGCACCUCACUCUGGGCUGAGAUCACACGUUGAGCGAUGCAACGACAAACCGGUUUCCUCACGCUACAGCUGAAUGUCACAUAGCUGCCCUGGGUACGGGUCAGUGCUGUCAGUGCUCUGCCACAUCCCUGCUCCUCUAGGAGCAUAGUGCCAACACAACCCUUUUCCCAUCCCAUCACUACUGCCCACCUUCUGACUGCUGCAGGCUUGGCAGGAGUAAACAAACCUAUUCCUUCCUAUCUGCAGCACUGUUCAGCCAGGAAAAAGCCAUGGGACUUUACUUGCAAGGGAAAGUUUAACCAAACCAUCACUUCUGCCAAAAGAAUGAGGAAUUCCUUGAGGUAGGCUUCGCUGGAUGCAAGUAAUUCUUCCCAGGCUAAAGCAGGGUUAUAGCUAAUACAUCUGAGUCACAAUGUGGAUUUGCACUUCACCUGUUAAACAUAACUAGUUUUGUCCAAAAUACAGAUUCUGUUCCUAACAUCACUUAAAUCUUCACAACUUCUACAUGAGCUGUAGGUGCGACAAGCUAAGUGAUUGAGACUUCUCUCACAGUCAGCAGGAGAGCAACAUGUAAAAUACCUGUUUUUCAGAGGUGAGGUCACCAUUGGCACAUCUGCUUUGCUGAAUAAAACACCAGAGAUUUGCAAGACUCUAAUGUUCAUAAAUUGAGUUGAGUUCACUGGGCUGGCACAAGAUAUCAUUUGAUCUACUCAUUUAAUAGCAGGUCAGCGUUUACUCUCUAUACAAAAUAUUUGCUCUUUUACAACAGGCAGCAUCUCAGCAGUCCUCAUAUGUGGGUACUUGUAUAUUAAUAAAGGAGAAAAAGCUAAGAGAACUUACAAGAGAACUCAGGAUACCAACAGGUCAAAAAAGAGCCUAAAUACAUUAAGUAGCUUCAGAAAAAUGCUAAUGUUCAAUAUUCCCCUGCUUAGACUGCACAGCUGUUGAGAUGAGAAUGCCUGAGCAGAGCUUCCAGAGGAACAUCCCUGAAGCCUUGCACAGAGCCAUCCACAUUUGGCUUUGAUGAUUUCAGGUAUUUCUACUACUCAGAAAAAAAUCUUCUGAUUGUAACACGUUUGCACUUGAUGCCUCAGAUAGUGGUUCUUGCUCUAUGACCUCUUACUACACAGUACUUUCUGCCUUAUACAACAUACAUGAGAUAAGUGCUAGUCAUAUGUAUCCUAAUUCUUUCUUGAUUUCAUCUGAUCUAGAAAUACCUUUUAGAUAACUGCAAUAAAGAUUUCCAAAGGCUUCUUUUGUGUGCACAUCUUCAUCUAUUGCGUUUGGCCCUUUAAUGUCAUCAUGAUUCUUACAGGAUACUUGCAACACAUGCAUCCAAACAUCAUUCACUGUUAUGCAUUGUGCUUCCUCCCCCCUCCUCCCCAUUGAUUAUUCCUAAAGUUUUUUUGGGGGAUAGCAGAAGCAAAAUUGAUCAUAAUAAUGCAAGUAAUAAUGCAGGGAACAAAUGACCAGCAAUAUAACUGUUUAAAUGGAAUUUAGACCUUCCAUUCCCAGAGCAACUCGAUUUGAAUUAAAAAACAAAUGAUUUCAAAGGUCCAUUUAAUACUGGGAAAGCUAUGAGCAGUAUGCAUAGGUCAGAGCACAUUUCAUCUACAUCCAAGAUCCCAGCCAUGAGAUUACAUAUCUCAAAACAGACACCUCCUUAAAGAGGCUGUUUAAAUAAUAAAACUUCUUGUAAUAAUCAGAAGAGAUGCACUGAGGAGAGGAAGCACCUGCUUCGCAAUGAAAAGUUUGAUUUUGGAAGAGGCUCAUUAGGUUAAAGGAACUGCACUGUAGCAGACAGCAUGGUUUAUAUGAAUCUUCAUGGAAGUGACUAUUUAAUUAAGAGGUAGACAUCUCAGUUUUCCCCUGAAACUUACACUAGAAAUUCAGUACAAAGGUUUGCUGCAUUUUAUCAGGUUGACUUCAUUACCUUCAGGAAUAAUAGAAAUUGCAUUUGUUUCUCUGGGCUGUGGAAUACAGGGAAACCCAUGAAAAGAAAGAGGAAAAAGAAGAAAUGCUGAUUUUCUUUGGAUGAAAUAAAAAAAAAUAGGGCUUUGAGAACAUUUGAGUAUAGUAUGCUCUGGAUUUUUAAGAGAAGCUCAAAGAAACAUUUUCUAAAUGCAUAUCUGUUAGUUUAUUUUCAUUUUGUGUUGCCACGUAUAAUUAUGAGAAACUUACAGAAAACCCAUAAGACUUUCAUUCUGUUAGAAGUGCCUUUUCCAAGAUUAUACUGUAGGCUAUUACUUCAGCCCGCUGGGUAUCAUGUGUAGGCAAGGUGUAAGAUUAUGCACAUGAAUAUUUCUGUCUACCACUUCUGUGUGCUGAGACAAUACCAACUCACACUUUCUUCUGUCAUUGGUCCUUAUUCCAUCGAGGAUAUUCUUAAUUACCAGCAAGACAAUUGGGUAAUAUCAUAUAAAGCAUCACAGCAUCAUUCCUGUGAUGAUUUACACCUGCUAAGAGCCUGAUUAUUGAAUUUUAAACCAUAUAGUAAGCUCAGAAGGUAGACAAUAUUUUUCUAUAGGACACUGUUUCUAUUUUUAAUAUAACUACUCUCCUUUUUCCAAUUCAUUGGCACAAUUCUCUUAAAAGAAAGAAUUUUUGUACACACAGACACCAUUUCUGAACAUCUGAGCUGCCUUGAAAAACUCAGAGCACUCCUAUAGUAGUUUAAAUCAACUCAAGUCUAAACACUGAAACACUGAAUUUGACAACGUGCACGAGGGUCAUGGGGAGCACAUCUCUUCUUGGGGAUUCUAAAGAAUGCAAAUAAAAAUACAGAAAUAAAAACAAGCUCACUGCGUUCCUUGCUCCACUUUGAGAUUAUAUGUGGUUUUAUAUGGUUUUUAUUUGUAUUUAUAUAUGUAUUUAUGCACAACCCUUGCAGGAUUAUUCCAAAAUUUUUGGGAAUGAUGGAAAUUCUGUUGAUUCCAGUCUCUGCUUUCCAUUAUGGAAGACAUUUGUGCAACAAGUUUGCUGAGGAUGGAACACUAAUGAAAUGGGUAAUUUUAUAAACGCACUGGGCAGGGUAAGUGUCCAACAGAAAAGAAGUCACACAGAUGCAGAAAUUAGUCUGCUUGAAACAAAUAAACCAAGGAAUGCCUGCUAAAGAGUCAUGAAUUUCUUUGUAACGGUGACUGCACAUGGAACACCUUUUUUCCUAAAUCACCUACAGAAACUCUGCAGCUGAAGGUGUUUUGAUAGCAGUUAUGAUCAGAACACCACCACUUCUCAUACGUGAAAUACAACGCUGGGAAGGAUUUUUUCACUCCUCAAAUCACUCUUCUGAGGCUUUAUAUCAAUCUCAAGCAAUUUGCCUAGCCAUUUCUAUGAUAAAAUAGGUGUUUUUAUCCAUUUAGAAGAGCAAUAAAACUAAGGAAAAUUCAGGCAGAACACGCUCUUUCUUUAAAGCUUCAACUCAGAUAGUAAGAAUCUCGUUUUUGCCGUACUUCUCUCAUGAACUCAACUUUCCAUAGUGCAUUAAGUGUUGUAAUAAUGCAAAUCAAAUACAAAUUUUAAUAACUCCUUCCAUUAAAAUGAUCUAUUAAAGUUUUAAGAGUCCAACACUUAUGAGCAUUAUUCUAAUUGCAUGAUUUUGCUCGGGGCAGGUUUUACAGAUCUGCCUGAUCAUUGGAUAUUUGCGCAUUUAGGAUUAUUUUAAAUUAAUUUUUGGAAGAGUUUCAGUCUCAGUAGCAACAGUUGUUUAAUAGCUGUCUUGUGAGUAACUACGCAUCUGCUUCCACAUGAGAAAAAAACUACAUACAUUUAGAACUCUGGGAAAGGAGGUGGCAGAGGUUUACAGAAUGACAAGCAAUAUGAAGAACAUUCUGAAGAUGUUUGCUCACUUUAGUACAAGGAGCAAAAGAGGGUUAAAUUAAAAAAAUAAUAAUAUAUAUUUGUUAAGCAAUACAGUUAAGUUGUGGUACUCUCCCACAGAACAUUAAAAAUAUAUAACUGUAUUAAGAAAAGCUUUAGAAUUCAAUCAGUGCAGCUCCUUUGAUACCAUUAACCUUUCUGGUUUCAUGCGACUUGUAGGAUGGAUUUCUAGUAGAAGGAUGUGCAGUGGAACUCACACACUGGCUAAGAAAGCAAGGAAGCUUUGCAAACCUUCUAACAUUUUUAUGUUAACAGAAAUAAUUCAGAUCAGUACUGGGGGACAAAGUUCUGUAAUUCCUCCUCAGAAUCCAUCCCAAACAAAACAACUGUGAAAUACUGGAUGAUGUAUAUGGACUGUGUCUGGGGUUUUCCAUGAAAACUUUGUGUGGGAUAAUAAUGCCAAACAGGUAAAAAGGGUUGGAGUGAACAAAUCAGUUUUCAAGAGGCUUCCCAACUAAAAACAAGUUAAAUAGAUUUCAAAAUAAUGGAAAGUGUCUCAAUAGAUACUCUUCUAAAUUAUCACUGGCUUUGAAAUAUGCUUUGGUUUAAAAUUUUAAUUUCUAUAUGAAAGCAAAAAAAAAAAAAGAAAUAUUUUGAGAUUACUGAAGAAAAUAAUUUGGUGCUUAUUCCUUUCCUUUUAAAUGUGUUAGUUAGUCACAGAAUUAGUUGAAAACAAUGAAAUCUUAAGAACUCCCAAAGCAUAGGAUGAAGUAUUCUCUACUAGCUACACAAUGAGAGAAAAAUCUUAUGUCACUUUCAUUAGCGUACAGAUUUAGUGAAAUACUCACAUUCCCAUAGAGGUUGCACAUACUGGAACUCAGGGUUUGGGUUUCUUUCCAAGUGUGAUGCUUACACACGGUAAGUGAUAACUCUUUUUUUAUUAGACACUGUCAUCUACAUUUCUACAGAAAUACCUGGAGGUAUUCCAGCCUCCACAUGGCUGAUAGCCUUUUUUCCCUUAUGGAAUAGAAUCCUAGAAUCCUUUGAAUUGGAAGGGGCCCUUAAAGGUCAUCUAGCCCAACUCACAUGCAAUGAACACGGACAUCUGCAACUCGAUCAGGGGGCCCUGAGCCCAGUCCAGCCUGACCCUGAGUGCCUCUAAGGACAGGGCAUCAUUUUUCUUACACUGUCACAAACAGGACAGGAAGUCUGAGCAGGGUAUUUCAGCCACUUUUAGUUCACAGACUAAUGUGUUAAGACAAAAAUGGUGAUUAACUCUUAAGUAAUUUAGAAGUGGGCUAUCUAAGGUGAAAGAGCCCUAGAUGCCAGGAAGGGUUAGGCUUCGGGCAGGGGACAAGGCAGACAACACAGGGAUGGUGUGCAGUGAUAAUGGUGUGGGGCAGGAACAUCCCAAGAUGUCUGCUCAAUUUGUCAGGAAUUUCUCCUCUGAACUACUACCUCCAGAUCUCUCCACAACACCCUCAGUCCUUUUAUCUCUGAGCUAUCUCCAAGUUUACUGCCUGCCUAUCACCUUGGCUGAACUACACUAAUAGUGAACUAAUUACAUAUGAACGCUCUAAUUUGCUUUAUGUCUUUCUCAAAAACCACACGUGUGCAGGCAUGCACACAAGUAAACUUUUGCUCACGCUAUAAAAUUGCAGCGCGAUGUAGAAUCAGUUCACCAGCCCAAACAUUACAAAACAUCGCAUGCUCACUGCCCAUCUACUGCUUGUCCCUGCCAGGCCACCACCAGUGCUUGUCAUUCCUGAUCUGCAACAUCACCUGCUGCUCCAGACCAGAAAAGGGAGCAAAGAAGAGAAAUACGUGUUUGUCAUUGAACUGAACUGAGAAGAAGGAAGACGAGAACGAUAAGAUCAUUGCCUGCAGCACUUUGUUUAUGAGAACAUCCUUCCAGUGAUAUAUGCCUGCACCAGGUGAAAGUAUUGUGUCACCCCUAACAUAUUUUAAAUGCCAGGGCUGUCAUGCAAGAAGACAAUGAUGAACAAGUUUAAACAGAAUAUGGUAUUGUAGCCGUGUGCAGUGUUACCUUUUAAAGGUUUGCAUCAGUAGCAUUUCUUAACAGAACAUUUAUGAACUGUUACAUUCCCCUACAGAACCUCUUUCAUACUCUCAAUGAAAUUAUUUCUAUUGUAGAUGAAGUAUGUAGAACAUAAUACAUAUAUUAAACAAAUUAGGCCACUUUCUCAUGCAAGUUUUUCAGGCUAUUUCACAUGACCUCCCAGUCAUACUAUUUGAUCUUCUCUUAAUUCCUUGGAUAACAAGUUAGGGACUACACCUCUCUUGGCAAAUAGGUCAAUAAAGGGACAUCCACAUUGCUCCAAGCGCAGGAGCCUGCCCCAGGUCAGAGGUUUGUUUGGUUGAGCUCUGGUGUGUGCCCAUUAACUAGCUGCUGGAACUCCCAGACUGCAUUACCUAGUUUAAUUUCACACAAAAGGACUCGCAUGCUGUGGAGCACAGAACGCAGGGUCAGCUGGAGAAUUCACUUAAAAUACACUCCUGUCCCAAAAUGAAACACUACUUGAGAAACACCUCUUGCCACAAAGCAGGUAUGCACAGAAUUAUUGGCAUAUGGCAGUUUUCUUCCCAGAUAAUUAUCUCAAGCUUAACUGCAUGAACACCAUCACUGUGCUACAAGGCCAUUGCACAACAUGACUAUUUUCCCAGACUGACAGUUCAGAGAGUCUUGGGAACACCAGCAUCCAGCACAUGAUACUGAACACACACACAACCAUAUCCACCUCAGAUUCAGAUGAAAGAGCUUUAACCACCUAUGUCUCAUGGAAGGAAGGCAACCAUGACAAAGUUUUCCAUUUUUGAGGUCAGAGCCAUUCUGUGAACAUCCAAGACAGCAUUAAUUUACAGGAGAGGAAAGGGCAUUCCUGAUUGCCUGAAAAAUGCCCACAGAGCUAGGAUUCCUUAAACACUGACUGAGGGGGUCCUGUGUGGACUUGUGUAACCUGUUCAACACCGCCCCAUCAGUUUUCUUCCCUGCAGAAUGGAGACACCUGAUUUUUUACUCACAAGGUUAUUAGGAGGACUUUCCAAUUAAAGUUCUUUACAAAUGAAAGUGUCUUGUGAACAGUAUUUAAUCACCUGGCUAAAAACAGUCUCCAAUUUCUUUAGGCAGAACCUCAGUUUUCAUAGGGACUGGUCAAGGUGUUCGGUUUACGUAAGGCUGCAGGAUCUUAUGCUGCAUCUUUAAGACAUAGUUUACUUCUGAAUCAGUAAAUGUACUAGACAAAGCAGCCAUUAUUUAUGCAUUCCUGCAUACAUGGCAAGGUGAAAAUAAUAGAAUAAACAUCAUAUACUUCAUUAUGAUAUCGGUUUACACUUCCAGGGUACACAAAAAGAGGCCAUUUCAUCAAGCUAAUUGCCUGAAAGUAAAAGAGAGAACUUUAGCUAUUAGUCUAUUAUGGGGCUUUUUUCUUAAUCACAAAUAGGGGCCGUGUGUCCCCAGGGGGAUGUGUAUUCUAAUUUACAAUUGAACUACAGAUCAGAGCAAUCAAUCUUGUGCAGCACUUUUACAGUGUAAUUGCUGCAACAUAACAAAUAAAAAAAGCAGCCUAAGUCGAGUUUCAGCUUGAGGUGGAGAUAUUUACCAGGCAUUGGGUCGGGGUGGGAGGGAGGCAGAGAGGCACCACAGCCAUGAAUAUGCAAUGAGGGCUCAUUAGUGCCCCAGUGUUGCCAUGACGAAUGGCAUUAUCCCCAGCCUGGUGCAGCCUAAACAUGAAUUUUAUAACGACCCAUUUAUCAUGACUUGUCAUGGGGUUCUUUACUGUACUUUCUACUGGCUCUCACACCUUCCUCCAUUAUCACCUCAGAAUUCCUUUUGUUAUUUUGUCUUAUUCUGGUUUAGUUUUUGGUAAUGAAGCCCAACUUAGAAGAUGACUGCAAACAGCAGUGUGCUGAUGUGCCAGAGCAACUUAAGGCUUCCUCAGCUGGAGAUCCAAUGCCAAACGCGUAGGUGGUCUUCAGUCCACUUACCAGGGGAUAAGCAUCCUCGUUGUCACAAAUAUCUGCAAUCUUGUCAGUUGACUCAGCAGAAAGGUCUUAGAUUGACCGAGCAUCAAGACAACUAUCUUUCCAUUCUGGCAGAUGUGAUGGAUGAAUCUGUUUUGUUGACCUAGGCCUGUCUAAAAGUGCUCUUCCUCAGCCCACGCCAGCGAUUUGUACAGUGUAAAAACUCACCCCUUGCCUCUACACUGAUAAAGCUACCGAGCCAGGUAAGUAGACAAAAACUGCAUUCUGCCUAACUCCUGUUAAACUGGAAAAAAAAAAAAAUACUAGAUGCAAAACUGAAGUGACAGAAAAAGCAUUAACUUGCCAGGAGCAAGAGGUAAUAACCAACUCCAUAGGAAAACAAAAUUACCAAUAAGUAAUUAGUGUGUCUGGCUUGAGCUCAUUUUUGGUCACUGCACGUUGUCUGUUUUACUGCUGUCCCUUUGGCCUACCCGAUUCCACAUUUAAUAUACCACUGCUUAUAAAGAAAUCCCUGCGGCUCAGGAGGCUGAAUUGCCAUGCUGGGGUAGGGCCUGCUCGCUGGUAUAUAGAAGCUUUCAUUUCCCAAGUUACAAAUCUGACAUCUCAUGGCCAAAUCCAUGCCAGUUUAUUUCUGGGAAGUCUGUCCUCAUUAUUUACCCCAAAUAGUUUCACUGUCAGUAUGCCUUUUUUUCCCAGUAUGAAGUGGCUGCAGCAUCUGAAAGUAUCAAGCCUCUCUUUGUUGGAUUUUACACUUUUGCUAUUACAAGAAUUUGUCUUUGGGGACAGAAAAAUCAAGCAACUUAUUUCCAGCUAUUACUUGGAUAGGACUUCAUGUUCUUAAACAAGUUGUGAGCUCCCAUGAUCUCUGAAAACAACUCUCCCGAGGUCUCACAUCAGGAUAGUCCUACAGUUCUUUCAUUACUCUACUGGAUGUUUGAAAAUAUUAAAAGGCAUCGAACAUCCCAGUCCAGCAAUUUAUAGACUCAGAGUCUGGUGCUGUAGCCCUCAAAGCCUCUAUUUCUUCCACAAAAUCUGCACUUUGCUAUUAUCGUCACCAAGACAGGCAUGUGUUUCACUAGAGAAGCAGUUUGUCAAAGCAACAGUCCAUUACCCAGAGAUUCAUCACAGGUUCUCACUUCAGCACACAAUAGGAGAGAGCCUGCAUGCCAGAACAUGAGGGGGAAGGGAAGCUUCCUUGCAAUGAGGUGCAUGAGGUAUGUGGCACACUGAUUUAAAGUCAGGCAUAGCUGAUCAGGGCAGCAAAUGCUGAGGUGUUCAUGCCAUCUUUUUUUUUUGCCUGCCCGUAAGGUCAGACUGCCAUACCUGACUGCACUGCCACUAUCUGCAGCUUAUAAGAUGCAGUAAGCAGAUGGCCACUUUAGUUGAACUUUGUGAUUCGUAGUCCCACACAGUGAGUUUUUUCUAUUACUUUAUAGCAAUAGCUGGUGGUCCUUCAGGGAAACAUGCUCAUCUUUCUCCCACUCAUCAAAAAGACAGACAUUGAAACAAAGAUUAUUAAAGGCCAGCCAAUGCAGAUGACAUCUAGAUCUAUGUCAGUGUAACACCCAGUGCCACUACAAUCACAUUGUAGAUUUCUAGGUUGAGAUCAGCAGCCAUAUGGAGGGCAGCUGCCUGAGACAGAAAAGCAUUUACUGUUCCUCAGUCAAUCUACAAAUGGCAAUAAUUAAAAUAAAAUUCCAAUCCUCAAAAUAUUAAGUCCUUGGUUCUCAACCAACAGGCCUCAGACUAUAAGAAACACCCAAAUUUUGGGUGGAAAAAAAGUCUGUCACAUGAAUCCAGAUCCCAAUAUAAAUAUCAAAUGAGAUCUUUUGAAGAGAAAUUAUAAAAAGGCAAUAUUUUAAAAUGGAAGAUAAGCACAUAGCGUGGGACUAAUUGUUUAUCCAGAAUUCAAGGGAAGCUUAAUGACUGACUGCAUAGAAUCAGAAGCUGACUGAGAGCAAACCCACUGGAAAGUAUUGCACCAAAUGUACAUUUUAAUGCAAUCAAAUCCUACCCACAAAAAUAUGCAUACUUACAUCAACAGUUUGCUACAUUUACAGAUAGAAUUCUUAGGACACAAGAAAAUAUGGAAAAGAACUGCAGGUGUAAUUACUGUAUAAUGGUGUUCAGUAUCUGUUCAAUUGCUGUAUUUACAACAGAAAAAGCAGAUACUAUUUCUCCAUAUAAAGUAGCAUACUUUAAAGGCAUUUGAUAAAAUGCAUGCUUGGAAUGAGUUUUGUAUUCAGUAAUUUGAACACCUAGACAGUGCCAGGAACACAUCCCACCUUGCCUGCAAAGACUACCAGUUAUACUACAUAAAGCAGCCUUUUUUUAGGCUAUUUCUUUCUGUGGAGAAAUCCCUCCCUCCCUUCUUAAUUGUAUUUCAAAAGUGGCCUAAUAAUGUUUUCCUCACUGUUCCCCCUCCAAGGCUUAGCUUUAGGCAUCCUAAUAAAUGAACAAUCUUUUCCCUGGUUCUAUUUCAGUUUUGGCUUUAAGCACUGUCUUUCCUUAUCUGGAGCCAAUGGCUCUCUGCUUUCCACUUUUAAACAAACAAACAAAACGUCCUUCUCCACUGUCCUCCUCUUAUCCCUCCACUUUCUUUAAUGACAUCUUCAGUCAUUAAUGAGUUAAUAAAAAUCUCAAAGUCAUCUGGGAAUAGAUAAGGGGAAAGAAAGAGGAGUAUUGUACACAUAAUGACAGGCUCCCUGCUGGCCCUAAGAUGUCAUGGGUCAGCCAUGUUAAGAAUGUGUGUGCCCAAUCAUCUGCUGAUUUUUAUCAGCAAGGCCUCAAGCAGAAUCUGACACGGCCAGUUUGGGAGUUACAAUGAAUAAACAAUGACUUCUUGGAUUGUUGGCGGCUGUAUGAUAGAGUGAGAGGGUUUAUAUAUACUAAAACAUGAUGACAUUAGCAAUCAAUAUACCAAUUACUGGACAAGUUAUUGGACGAAGAAUGCACAUGUCUUGAGCUUUGUGCACUUUGAACAUGCUACCAGUGAUGGAGACCACAGAAAUAAUGGUGCUUAACCCUUCCCAAGCUAGAUAUGCUAUUUCUUGACAAUGCCUUCAAGUUUGAUUGCAUGGUGAGAGAAACAACAAACCACUGGUCUGAUUCAGCAUAUUAAGUCUUCCAGAUAGAAGACAUAAGCUUGACAAAUUUAUUUUUCAUUAGGACUUAACGAAAGGAAUAGAUUUUUCAAGUGAGCAUUUGGAUGCUUGAACAACAGAUAAUUUAAAUUGUUCCCCAUAAAAUUUCAGAGGAAAUCGAUUUCUUUUCACCCAAGCACCACAAGCAUACCACAAACUUCAUCACUGAGAAGUUAGAACACAUUUUUAUAGGAUCAUUUAGACAAAUACCCCAACAUGCUUCACUUGCUUAUUCCACAAUAGAGGAAGGAAGAUAGAACUCUAAGAUACUUCUUUUAUUCUUGUGCUACCAGAAAUACAUUUCUGCAUCUGUUCAGUUUCAUCUCCUUGCUCUCUUUAGAAAGCUCAAAACAUUCAGUGUUUACAAGUUUAUCUUCUUUUAUUCUGGAAAUGAUUGUGAAGAUUCAAUGUCAGCUUUAUAAUUGAAACCAGAAUGAAAUGUGGUUAAGUCAAUCACCUCAUUCAAAGCACAAAUGCAGAAGACAAUUGACAUGGAGACCAAAGAAGAGGACAGAGCUGCCACAUCUGGGGUGCAGCAGAAGCACUGGACUGAGUGGUAUCAUUUCUCCAUUCAGACAAGUAUACAUUCCAAUAGAAAGCUCACGGGCUUUGCCUUCAGAUGAAUCAUUAAAAUUAUGUGGGAAAGAUUAAGAUGAUUCUCCUUUUCUGCAUUAUGAAUGACAUCUUUUACUGAGAUCUGGGAAACAGCUGAGAAAGCAGCAAUGCCACAUGCAUUUGGACUUUUGCUCAGGUGAGGCAAACAAGACAAGGCAUAAAUAUACAAUGACUUUGUCUCCUAGGGAAUCAGACAACAAUAGAAAUUGUGCAAGAAAGCCCAAAACAGUACGUAUUUUGUGUAGAUUAGAAGCUGAAUAAAAUCUUAAGAUGCAUCUCUUACAGACUGCUCUUGUGAUGCAAAAGCUAAAGCGUUGGUCUAAAUUACAAUCAUAUCUGCUCCAGCUUCUGAGCACUAAGCAUCUCUCAGAGCUGUGUUGGACAGUAAUGGCAGAGGGAUCACUCCCAGACAUAGGGGAAAAAAUAGAUGAGACCACAUCUGGUUUUAACUGCAGCAGUUAUGAAAUGCUCAGCUGCAUCCUCUCAAAUGGCUCUUCCCAUUAAGUUUGUGAAAAGUUUGGAAGUGAAUUUGUCCAGCAUGUCUGAUAUGAAUAACAAAAUGGUUUUAAAUGUAAAUGUUUCAUAAAAUAGCACCAUUAUCAUACAUUACAGUGAGUACAGUUGAAAAAACUCAAUCCCUCCUCCGUAAUUUACAAUUAACUUUUUGCCUCAAGGUAACAGCUACAUUCACAAAAAAUAAUGGUAAUAGAUUGACCUUGUUAUGAAUGGAUAACAAGCUGGAAACAAUAUAGUUUGUCACAGAGCAUUAACUGUUACUGUUGAAAUUGUAAAUAAUGCGUAUAGAACAUACAAUGUAAAUGGCUCCCCUUAAAAAUAUUAAUUAUGUCGAUUAAACACUUGAUGUAUAAUGGAUUACUUUGGAAUCUACUUAAGUCCAUGUCAGACUGAAUACACCAUUGCCUAAGAUCCUUUUCUGCCCUGACUGCUCACUGUGGACCUAGCAUUUACAU